rnacentral:rRNA from 1 species
UCGAGCGGACUUGCCCUUUCGGGGGCGAGUCAGCGGCGGACGGGUGAGGAACACGUGAGUGACCAACCCGGGAGUGGGGGAUAUCGGGCCGAAAGGCGCGGCAAUCCCGCAUACGCUGCCCCGAGUGCGCUCGGGGCAGGAAAGCGUUCAGCGCUCCCGGCUGGGCUCGCGGCCCAUUAGCUAGUUGGCGGGGUAAUGGCCCCCCAAGGCUCCGAUGGGUAGCCGGCCUGAGAGGGUGACCGGCCACACUGGGACUGAGACACGGCUCAGACUCCUACGGGAGGCAGCAGUAGGGAAUCUUCCACAAUGGGCGCAAGCCUGAUGGAGCAACGCCGCGUGAGUGAAGAAGGCCUUCGGGUUGUAAAGCUCUGUCUGUCGGGACGAGGGCCCUGGCGUGCCAGGGCGGGACGGUACCGGCGAAGGAAGCCCCUGCAAACUACGUGCCAGCAGCCGCGGUAAGACGUAGGGGGCAAGCGUUGUCCGGAAUUACUGGGCGUAAAGGGCGUGUAGGCGGUGGCGUACGUAGCGGUUAUAAGCCGUCGGCUCACCCGACGGAUGGUCGCUAAACGGCGCGACUGGAGGGCAGGAGAGGUGCGUGGAAUUCCUGGUGGAGCGGUGAAAUGCGUAGAGAUCA